rnacentral:rRNA from 1 species
GCAGGGUACGUUUCGGAUUCUGGGCGUAAGCGCGCGUAGGUGGUUAAUUAAGUCAAAUGUGAAAUCCCCGAGCUUAACUUGGGAAUUGCAUUCGAUACUGGUUAGCUAGAGUAUGGGAGAGGAUGGUAGAAUUCCAGGUGUAGCGGUGAAAUGCGUAGAGAUCUGGAGGAAUACCGAUGGCGAAGGCAGCCAUCUGGCCUAAUACUGACACUGAGGUGCGAAAGCAUGGGGAGCAAACAGGAUUAGAUACCCUGGUAGUCCAUGCCGUAAACGAUGUCUACUAGCCGUUGGGGGAUUUGAUCCUUUAGUGGCGCAGCUAACGCGAUAAGUAGACCGCCUGGGGAGUACGGUCGCAAGACUAAAACUCAAAUGAAUUGACGGGGGCCCGCACAAGCGGUGGAGCAUGUGGUUUAAUUCGAUGCAACGCGAAGAACCUUACCUGGCCUUGACAUAGUAGAGACUUUCCAGAGAUGGAGAGGUGCCUUCGGGAAUCUACAUACAGGUGCUGCAUGGCUGUCGUCAGCUCGUGUCGUGAGAUGUUGGGUUAAGUCCCGCAACGAGCGCAACCCUUUUCCUUACUUGCCAGCAUUUCGGAUGGGAACUUUAAGGAUACUGCCAGUGACAAACUGGAGGAAGGCGGGGACGACGUCAAGUCAUCAUGGCCCUUACGGCCAGGGCUACACACGUGCUACAAUGGUCGGUACAAAGGGUUGCUACACAGCGAUGUGAUGCUAAUCUCAAAAAGCCGAUCGUAGUCCGGAUCGCAGUCUGCAACUCGACUGCGUGAAGUCGGAAUCGCUAGUAAUCGCGGAUCAGAAUGCCGCGGUGAAUACGUUCCCGGGCCUUGUACACACCGCCCGUCACACCAUGGGAGUUUGUUGCACCAGAAGUAGUAGUCUAACCGCAAGGAGGACGCUUACCACGGUGUGGCCGAUGACUGGGGUGAGCUCGGUACCAAAAAAAAAAAAAAAAAAAA